rnacentral:lncRNA from 1 species
CUCGAUUAUCAAUUUCCUUCAUCUGACCUAUCUCUACAAUGGCGGAUGGAGUCACUACUUCUUCAGCAUCUUCUGGUUCUACCACCAGACCUCUACUAACUAUGGAUCGCGCUCAUGUUUAUUAUCUUUACUCUGUGGAUUCACCUGGAAUGCGCUUGGUUAAUGCUCCAUUUGAUGGAAAAGGUUAUCAAUCAUGGAAG